UACGAAGGGGGCUAGCGUUGUUCGGAAUUACUGGGCGUAAAGGGCGCGUAGGCGGUACUUCAAGUCAGGCGUGAAAGCCCCGGGCUCAACCUGGGAACCGCGCUUGAGACUGGAGAACUAGAGUUCGGGAGAGGAUGGUGGAAUUCCCAGUGUAGAGGUGAAAUUCGUAGAUAUUGGGAAGAACACCGAUGGCGAAGGCGGGUCUCGUGG
rnacentral:rRNA from 1 species